UACGUAGGGCGCAAGCGUUGUCCGGAAUUAUUGGGCGUAAAGAGCUCGUAGGCGGUUUGUUGCGUCGGCUGUGAAAUCCCGAGGCUCAACCUCGGGUCUGCAGUCGAUACGAGCAAACUAGAGUGUUGCAGGGGAGACUGGAAUUCCUGGUGUAGCGGUGAAAUGCGCAGAUAUCAGGAGGAACACCGGUGGCGAAGGCGGGUCUCUGGGCCGAUACUGACGCUGAGGAGCGAAAGCGUGGGGAGCAAACAGG
rnacentral:rRNA from 1 species